ensembl:snRNA U7 U7 small nuclear RNA
AAGUGUUACAGCUCUUUAGAAUUUGUCUAGCAGGCUUUCCAAUUUUUGUCGGAAAGCCCCC